rfam:Paenibacillus sp. FSL H7-0737, complete genome.
UCCAGUAAAAGGUAAACCUGCCGAAAGACAGGGGCACAAAGUCGCGGGUCUAAGGUAGAAAUACUAUGACAGCCGGAUUGCCUGG